UUUACCCACUGAAAAAAUAUUUUUUCGAUUUCUAGGUGAAAAAAAUUAUUUUGAGACUAUUUGUUGGAAAUUAGUUUAUAAAAACACAAAGAAAACCUACAACGUCCAAGAAUCUGAUACUAAAUGAUAAAGAAUGAGUGUGUGGAAGAGAGUAUGAAUGAAUGUGGAAGAAGAUCGUAAAGUUUGUUAAAGUUGCGAACUUGUCUUAAGGCUCUAGACGUUUGGAACAAAAC
rnacentral:lncRNA from 1 species